rnacentral:tRNA from 1 species
GCUGGAGUAGCUCAGUUGGUUAGAGCGUGUGGUUAACAGGUCAGAGGUUCGACCCUCUCUCUAGCG